rnacentral:rRNA from 1 species
UCGAGGGGCAGCGGGUAGAUGAGCUUGCUCAUUUAUGCCGGCGACCGGCGCACGGGUGAGUAACACGUAUGCAACCUGCCCGUCUCAGGGGGAUAAUCGUCGGAAACGGCGUCUAAUACCCCGUAUGAAGCCGGACGGCAUCGUCUGGUUUUGAAAGAAUAUCGGAGACGGAUGGGCAUGCGGCGCAUUAGCUAGUUGGCGGGGUAACGGCCCACCAAGGCGACGAUGCGUAGGGGUUCUGAGAGGAAGGUCCCCCACACUGGUACUGAGACACGGACCAGACUCCUACGGGAGGCAGCAGUGAGGAAUAUUGGUCAAUGGGCGAGAGCCUGAACCAGUCAAGUCGCGUGAGGGAGUACUGCCCUAUGGGUUGUAAACCUCUUUUGUCGGGGAGCAAAAGCCGGACGUGUCCGGCUGUGAGAGUACCCGAAGAAAAAGCAUCGGCUAACUCCGUGCCAGCAGCCGCGGUAAUACGGAGGAUGCGAGCGUUAUCCGGAUUUAUUGGGUUUAAAGGGUGCGUAGGCGGCCUGCCAAGUCAGCGGUAAAAUUGCGGGGCUCAACCCCGUACAGCCGUUGAAACUGCCGGGCUCGAGUGGGCGAGAAGUAUGCGGAAUGCGUGGUGUAGCGGUGAAAUGCAUAGAUAUCACGCAGAACCCCGAUUGCGAAGGCAGCAUACCGGCGCCCGACUGACGCUGAGGCACGAAAGUGCGGGGAUCAAACAGGAUUAGAUACCCUGGUAGUCCGCACAGUAAACGAUGAAUGCUAGCUGUCCGGGGGGAUUGACCCCUGGGUGGCACAGCGAAAGCGUUAAGCAUU